rnacentral:rRNA from 1 species
UACGUAGGGGGCAAGCGUUGUCCGGAUUUAUUGGGCGUAAAGAGCGUGUAGGCGGUUUGGAAGGUCAGCUGUGAAAACUCGAGGCUCAACCUCGAGACGUCGGUUGAAACCACCUGGCUAGAGUCCGGAAGAGGAGAGUGGAAUUCCCGGUGUAGCGGUGAAAUGCGCAGAUAUCGGGAAGAACACCCGUGGCGAAGGCGGCUCUCUGGGACGGUACUGACGCUGAGACGCGAAAGCGUGGGGAGCGAACAGG